rnacentral:rRNA from 1 species
UGGGGAAUAUUGCACAAUGGGGGAAACCCUGAUGCAGCGACGCCGCGUGGAGGAAGAAGGUCUUCGGAUUGUAAACUCCUGUUGUUGAGGAAAAACGGAUGGUACUCAACAAGGAAGUGACGGCUAACUACGUGCCAGCAGCCGCGGUAAAACGUAGGUCACAAGCGUUGUCCGGAAUUACUGGGUGUAAAGGGAGCGCAGGCGGGUAUGCAAGUUGGGAGUGAAAUACAUGGGCUCAACCCAUGAACUGCUCUCAAAACUGUGUAUCUUGAGUAGUGCAGAGGUAGGCGGAAUUCCCGGUGUAGCGGUGGAAUGCGUAGAUAUCGGGAGGAACACCAGUGGCGAAGGCGGCCUACUGGGGCACCAACUGACGCUGAGGCUCGAAAGUGUGGGUAGCAAACAGGAUUAGAUACCCGAGU